rnacentral:rRNA from 1 species
CGGGACGGGUGAGUAAUGUCUGGGAAACUGCCUGAUGGAGGGGGAUAACUACUGGAAACGGUAGCUAAUACCGCAUAACGUCGCAAGACCAAAGAGGGGGACCUUCGGGCCUCUUGCCAUCGGAUGUGCCCAGAUGGGAUUAGCUAGUAGGUGGGGUAAAGGCUCACCUAGGCGACGAUCCCUAGCUGGUCUGAGAGGAUGACCAGCCACACUGGAACUGAGCACGGUCCAG